CUGGUGGAUCCAACCUUCUUCCAUUUACAGAUGAUGGAGGCCACUGUGGUCAUUGGGACCUUCAAAGCAGCAGAAAUAUUUCUGUACCCUCCCCCAGAUUUGUGCAUCAAGACAAUGCUGUCUCGUAGGUCUGCAGAUGAUUCCUUUGAUUUCUUGCUUGGUUUGUGCUCUGACAUGCACUGUAAACUGUGGGACCUCAUAAGUUGACAGAUUGUUAUUUUUUUAA